AUAUUAUAAAUCAAUCGUCACCGAAAUAAAUAAAAAUGGCGGUGCUGACGAAGAAGACUUUAUUCUAUCAAAUAAUUUUUAUUUUAUUUUUAUUUGUUACAACUGCGUUUGGUAGAAUUCAUAAAAUCACAAGUAAACAUUCAAAUGACUGCAAAAGAACUCUGACAAGAUUUGGAUUUCUGAAAGAUGGAUUCCUUCACGUUAAGUUUGAUUUGCUUCCGAAAUAUAAUAUGGAAGGUCGAAUGGGGUUUUUACUUACCAGACAUCUAACAUCAACUAAAAGUGGAGAAAUAGAACAAAAGAUGUCAUGUGGAACUAAUGAAACAGGUGGUAAAAGUAUGUGCUUUAGCGAGAAGAUUCCCCAGCAGACAAAUUCUUCGAAACUAUGGUUUUUUGAAUUUCAUAAAAAAGCAUUACGAAUAGACAGAUAUGGAAAUAAUUUUAAUGACUUAUAUAUAACAACUUGGAAUGAAAGCAAAUUUGAAUAUAAUUGGAGAAAAUUUAACAUGAAUACACAAGAAUUAAAGAAUUUAAGUUGUUCUGCUACACCAACUGCUGUGAAAGAUGGUAUUUGUAAUAAUAGUAUUCCUAUUACUGAUGUAGAAUUACAUCCUCAAGUGCAGUUUCUCAUACCUAUUAACGGUAAAGGGGAAGGAUAUUAUGGUUUAUACUUUUGUAAUGCAAGAGAUAUAUCUGUUAACUACACGGUUUAUUUGAUUGAAAAGAAUUCUCAGGGUUAUCUUAGUGCCAGUGAAAUUCCCCUGCCCACAGAAUUCUUUGUCUUUAGUGCUAUAUACUUUAUUCUUUCAACUUUUUAUUUGAUCUACUUGAAACGAUCUAAGGAAGAUGUAUAUAAAAUUCACUACUGUAUGACUGGACUUGGCUAUGUAAAAUGUAUUGCUAUACUAUUCCAUGGUUUAAACUAUCUUAUCAUCCUAAGAGAUGGACACCAACAAUUAGCUUUUUCCGUCCUAUAUUACAUCACUCAUCUGAUGAAAGGAAUAUUUCUGUUUGGCACUAUAGUGUUUAUCGGUGCUGGUUGGACUUUUAUCAAGUUUGUUCUGUCAAAUAGAGAGAAAAAAGUUUUCCUGAUCGUUAUCCCAUUACAAAUACUAAAUAAUUUCGCCUAUAUAAUGCUAGAAGAAACCGAUAAAGUCGAUGAUAGCUCAAGAAUGUGGAAGCAAAUCAGCAUAUUUGUCGACUUAUUGUGUUGCAUGGCAAUUCUCUUUCCCGUUGUCUGGUUUGUUAAAAAUAACAUAACCUUUUGCGCAAAAACGAUUUUAAAUAAUAUAUACUAAAAAAUUAUAUUACGAUUAUAGGUCUAUUCAUCAUCUAACUAAGGCAGCAAAGACAGACGGAAAAGCUAUUAUCAAUUUGAAAAAAUUAAAAAUGUUUAGAAAAUUUUACCUUUUGGUUAUCUGCUAUAUAUACUUUACCAGAAUAAUCGUUUAUUGUCUGUUGGUUGUACCUUUUAGGCAUGAAAAAUGGAUUUUUAAUUUAUGCAGAGAAUUGGGCACUUUUGUUUUCUUUAUUAUUACUGCUUAUACAUUCAGACCGACUUCGAAUAACCCUUACCUGCAGGUAAUAAAACAGAAAGUCAUAUGAUUAACAUAUCAUUAUUACAAUAUAAUAGUGAUAACGGUGGUUUUAAAAAAUAAUUUUUAUAGGUGCCUGAUGAAGAGGAAGAAAUGCAGGAGGUGUAAGUAAAAAAAAAGAUAUAUUAAUGAUAAUAUUUAACAUAAAAAAAAAUUAACAUUUUCAAUGAUUCUUAUAUUAUUCAAUCGAAUAUUCAGAUUGACAACACCUGGCGCAUAUGACAACUUAAAAAAAGUAAAUAUCAAAGAAAAAUCCACAGACGAUAACGUUGAAAUAAAGCAGAGGGAAAUUUCUCAUGAUUUAGACUAGUCAAUAAAAAGAAAAGGAAAAACUUUUGAUACAAAAUAUUUAAAAGAAACAAAAAAUAAAAAUUAAAUAUUGCAUAUUUUUUAUUUGUACAUAGAAAGUAGUUAUUUUAAUUUAUGUUUUUCAAACAAUAAACUCAUACUUUGACGACAGCG
rnacentral:misc_RNA from 1 species